rnacentral:rRNA from 1 species
AUGCCCGAGCAGGGGAGCAAGGCGCCGAGCUGGUGGAGGAGGUUCCGGUGGCUAUACGCGGCGCGGUGCACGGUGGCGUGCGUGGUCACCCUGGUGGCCGUGGCAGUGAUCGUUCGGGCAGUGGUGGUGAUGCUCCGCCCCGAGAAGCUCCAGCUGAAGCUCGCCGGCGGCCGCGUGGCUGUCGACUACAUCCCGUCACUGCCGCCACCGCGCAACGUCGUGGUCUUCAGGGUCCUCCUCAGGGCCAACAACCCCGGCGGGCGCGCCACCAUUGUUUACGCCAACGUCACCGUCCGGCUCACGGACGCGUCGGCGGGACCUGCUGCGACGAUCACCGAGUUCGACCUGCCGCAGCGCAUCGACGUGGCGCAGCGUAUGGCGCACGAGGCGACCGCGGUGGCCGAGCUGGAGCCGGGGGAGGACCUGCCGAUGAGGUACGUGCGCACGCUCUAUGAGGGGCGCGGCGUGGCCGGCGCGGAGAUGGAGCUGAGCGGGGUCUUGUCCACCCACACGGCGAUGGCCACCACCAGCGUCCUCACCACGUACUACUGCUGGCCGGUGACCAUCGCCGUCGUCGCAGGCGACUCCGCCGCCGACGUGCCCUGCUUCGACAAGCUGGACGCACCGGCCCAUGUGUGA